GCUCUGCCAGAGAGGAGGUUGAGUUCUCUCAGUAUGGAAGCAGCCCAGCAGUUGGAUCUUCUCUCCUGGAAAUGGGAUUUCCUCACUCAUUUUUCAGUAUGAGACUGCUCCAUUUCUUCUGAGUGUCUGCAGCUUCGUGGGUUACUCAAUACAGGGAUAUCCUGUGUGACCUGCUCUUGGUGAUCCUGCUCUGGCAGGGAUUUGGAAUAGAAGAUCUUGUGAGGUCCCUUCCAACCCCUAACAUUCAUCUUUCAGUGAAGUCAGCUGGGGCUGCAUUUCUUAGGCCGGAUAGACAAUCCAACUCCACCAGCUUAUCGGCUUUGUUAUACGUGUAAAGGGCACAUCCAGGUAAAUGAAAAGGAAAUGCGGAGACAGAAAGAGGGAUUCUUUGCACAGAACACAGCUUGCUGAGUGGAGCAGUGUAGAUAAAGGACAGCACACUUAAUGCCAAACUGGAGUAAUAAAUUUUGUGAUUGUUCUACAUUGUCUCAAAAUAACUGAGCAAACAGGAUCCUGAAGAAAUGCUCUGUAAUGAUAAUGCUUCUGUGCAAUAUCUUCUACAGAAAGAAUCAUGUAAACAGUUGGGUUUGAUAUGGGUGUUGAGUCUGGCUCUUGAGAAACAGGCCCUUUAUGCCAUAUCUCCUGAAAAAGAAUAGUCUAAAUGCUCUGUGUGCAUGUCUGUUCCAGGACAGAUGGUUGUGUGUAAACAAAGCCAAUUGCACUUACAUAUAGGCAUACCCACUUUAUUUCCUUGAGAGAACUGGUCCAAAGAGUUGUACUUACAGGGAGAGAAGCAAAACCAGUUACUACUUGCAAGUGCAGCGAUAUGUAUACCCAGCCAUUAACUGAACUAACAAGUACUGCUCCAUUCAGAGGACUAUUUGGACAGGUUCCCUUCAUGCUUAAU